rnacentral:lncRNA from 1 species
GGAAAAGAAAAUUAUCGUCACACAAAACAAACUAAAUAAACUUCCAAAAUUAUAUUGAGCAAACUAAUGAGAUAUAGGAAGAGAAUAGACCUCAAUGAAUCUGAAAUUGAAAUGAACAACAGCCUUGAAACGCAAAAAUGUAACGAACUGCGGAAGGGAAUUCGAAUCGGCACCCGAAAGACUCGAAACAAAACGAUGUCAAUCAAACUCCAUCGUGUUCCAUGGUUUAAAAAAUCAGAAGCAGAAGAUAAACUAACUAUGAAAAGAAAAUCACCGUAAUCACUUCGAACAACUGCAUCUUAAUCGAAAUCGAACCAACGAACUCAAACCAACAAACUCAAACGAGUUCCAUAACAAACCUGGAGUCGAAAUUAAAAGAAGAAGAUUUAAACUCAUUUUUUUGCUUGAUUUUCUGGUAUUUGUUUCCACACUCUGUUUUUUUUUUUUUUUUGAGUUUUCUAUUCUUCUCUAUGUGUGUACGUUAAUGAGAGACGAAGGAACUAUGAGGGGUGGUUGUCCAUAUAAAUCAACUGCUGGGGUCUGGCGGAUAUGGAAGCGGCUGUUACAACUCGUCUUCCGACGAGAUAAGUGGAAGCCGGUGAGUUGGGGCUGCUGUGAGGUGAUGACUGAUC